rnacentral:rRNA from 1 species
UACGGAGGGGGCGAGCGUUGUCCGAAGUUACUGGGCGUAAAGCGCGCGUAGGCGGGUUGGUAAGUCCGCUGUGAAAGCCCGGAGCUUAACUCCGGAGGGUCGGUGGAUACUGCCAGUCUUGAAGGUGCUAGGGGGAGAUGGAAUUACCGGUGUAGCGGUGAAAUGCGUAGAUAUCGGUAGGAACACCAGUGGCGAAGGCGGUCUCCUGGGGCAUUCUUGACGCUGAGGCACGAAAGCCAGGGGAGCAAACGGG